CCUACGGGUGGCAGCAGUGGGGAAUAUUGCACAAUGGGGGGAACCCUGAUGCAGCGACGCCGCGUGAGUGAAGAAGUAUUUCGGUAUGUAAAGCUCUAUCAGCAGGGAAGAAAAUGACGGUACCUGACUAAGAAGCCACGUCUAACUACGUGCCAGCAGCCGCGGUAAUACGGAGGGGGCAAGCGUUAUCCGGAUUUACUGGGUGUAAAGGGAGCGCAGACGGCUGUGCAGGUCAGGAGUGAAAGGCAGGGGCCCAACCCCCGGACUGCUCUGGAAACUGUAAAGCUGGCGUGCAGGAGAGGUAAGCGGAAUUCCUGGUGUAGCGGUGAAAUGCGUAGAUAUUAGGAGGAACACCAGUGGCGAAGGCGGCUUACUGGACUGCAACUGACGUUGAGGCUCGAAAGCGUGGGGAGCAAACAGGAUUAGAUACCCCGGUAGUC
rnacentral:rRNA from 1 species